UCGUAGGUGGUUUGUCGCGUCGUCUGUGAAAUUCCGGGGCUUAACUCCGGGCGUGCAGGCGAUACGGGCAUAACUUGAGUACUGUAGGGGAGACUGGAAUUCCUGGUGUAGCGGUGAAAUGCGCAGAUAUCAGGAGGAACACCGGUGGCGAAGGCGGGUCUCUGGGCAGUAACUGACGCUGAGGAGCGAAAGCAUGGGUAGCGAACAGGAUUAGAUACCCUGGUAGUCCAUGCCGUAAACGGUGGGCGCUAGGUGUAGGGGUCUUCCACGACUUCUGUGCCGUAGCUAACGCAUUAAGCGCCCCGCCUGGGGAGUACGGCCGCAAGGCUAAAACUCAAAGGAAUUGACGGGGGCCCGCACAAGCGGCGGAGCAUGUGGAUUAAUUCGAUGCAACGCGAAGAACCUUACCUGGGCUUGACAUAUACGGGAUCGCCGCAGAGAUGUGGUUUCCCUUGUGGCUCGUAUACAGGUGGUGCAUGGUUGUCGUCAGCUCGUGUCGUGAGAUGUUGGGUUAAGUCCCGCAACGAGCGCAACCCUUGUCUUAUGUUGCCAGCACGUUAUGGUGGGGACUCGUGAGAAACUGCCGGGGUCAACUCGGAGGAAGGUGGGGAUGACGUCAAAUCAUCAUGCCCCUUAUGUCCAGGGCUUCACACAUGCUACAAUGGUCGGUACAGUGGGUUGCGAUAUCGUGAGGUGGAGCUAAUCCCUUAAAGCCGGUCUCAGUUCGGAUCGGGGUCUGCAACUCGACCCCGUGAAGUCGGAGUCGCUAGUAAUCGCAGAUCAGCAACGCUGCGGUGAAUACGUUCCCGGGCCUUGUACACACCGCCCCGUCACGUCAUGAAAGUCGGUAACACCCGAAGCCAGUGGCCCAACCUUUGUGGGGGGAGCUGUCGAAGGUGGGAUCGGUGAUUGGGACGAA
rnacentral:rRNA from 1 species